rnacentral:misc_RNA from 1 species
AUGAAAUAUAAAUUCAAAUUCCAAUCAACGCAAAAAGGUAAGCCAUUUUAUUUCUAAAAAUUAUUUUAGUAGUAAAUAAUAGGAAUAAUUCGACUAUACUUCACACAUAGUUCUUUUGUAAGUCUGCGUUUUAUGUAAAAAUGUCAAGCUCCAAGUAUUACAAUGCACGGGUAAAAGCUCGGAUUGCAUGAAUCUGAAGGUUGAUGCUUGUGCUCAGGAAUUAACAAAUCAGGGGAUCUGCCAGAGAAUCAUUCAGAAUGCAACUUCAAUUGAGUUCACCGUAGGAAUUAACAAAUUCAGGGAAUCUGCCAGAGAAUAAUUCAGAAUGCAACUUCCAUUGAGUUCACCAAUACAUAUUUCAUAAGGGUGAACAUCUAAUUAUUUUAUUGUACAAAUAAAAAAGGAAAAAAAACCAACACAACAAUGAUCAAAUUCUUCAAUGAAAGCCCCUUUUACUCAACUAUGUAUUUAAAAUGCUUUCCCAACAUGCCUAUAGCCCUCUACAAAACGAACGAAACCUGAUACAAACUAUAUCUAAAUUUUCAGGAGGCAGGAAAUGGCCAUACAGGUAAAAUGGAAACUAUAGGAAAAGAAAGCGAAAAACCAGAGAUUUGAGAGAUCAUGAGAAUACAAAAGACAAUAAAACAAGAACCCUUCAAUUCACAUGCUCUUCCGGCAUACCCAAACAGCACCUAGCCAAAGUACUGAUAUGAGAAGUCCACCGUUAAGGUAAAUUUACAAGUGCAAAUCUCAAAGUAAGAGCCGAGCAUGUCAAGAUUCUCGCUGCUGGUUUCACAGCGGCUCUCUAAAGCCCUCAGACUAUAAAUUAGAGGACAAGACUCUAAGCAGGUACAGUUUCUCUACAAUACUGAAACUAUGUCAAAUUUCUACCUUUUCAUAUCCUAUAUGAACCAAUCUCUAACUUGAACUCCGACUGGUUUUUUCUGUGUUACAGCCUGACUUGGCACAAAAACUGAUCAAAGAAGCUCACGACAAUAUCAAUAUUUAUGAGGGCUUUUUAACUAAUUUUAAUAUUUUGUGAAAGAGAGUAACAACAUGAAGAAUAAGCUCAGCCACAUAUUAAAAUAGGAAAAAUUUUAGUUCCUUCAUUACAGCUCAAAUAAUAAAAUUCUAUCACUGACCUCCAUAUUCAAAUUCUGGAUAUGCAUUCAGAUGCUCCUAAGUCCUAACUGACAGAGUAGAACACACUUAUUAUAAUGCAAAAAGAGAUAUUGAAGCAAAAAAUAGAAGUUUAUUAACUACAGGAAACAACACUUCAAAUUCAGGAAUUCGUUGAUAAGAGACCAUAUAUAUGCUGCAAACCCAGUACACCUUUUUGUAUUGUUUCAAACUUCAGAGGCAACUUAUAACACAGAAUAAUAAAAAAACAGCCAAAAAUGGAAAUCCGUUGCAAGUUGAAUGCAGAUAAUGUACAGAUCCUGGCUCUUAUGAAAACGGAUAAUGCUGCAAUCAGCACAAGUUAAUCUCUAGAGCAUGACAAAGAGUGCACUGCAAUAGUUCAUUUGAGUUUGCUUACAGAAUCUUAUUUACCAAGAAACCACAGGUAAUAAAUUCAAAAACAUGAAAUAAAAGAAUAUAAAGUAUUCUAGACAUACUACAAAUAGCUAAAAAAUGACUGCUAAAAAGAGCAACUAGGGGUACAUGGCUAUAACUAAGUAGGCAAAGAGAAGAAAGAAAAAGGACUGCACAUUCACCAUUACACAUGAGAUUCUUUUUUGCAUGCAUGCACUUUCUGUCAUAACUUACAACAGAAUGGAGAAAAGAUAUGGAUGCCAGAAAAAAAUGAGAUAUGGCACCUACUCCAUGCAUCAAAAGACAAUAGACCAAUAAAAAAAGGGGCAUAAGCUUAACAGUUUCCCUAUGAACCAGAUGAAAGAGCACGUGAUGAAGCCUGAGCCUUUUUUAUCAAGGAGUUUAUGCCCAGUGCAGAAAAAGCAGCGCAUGUGAGUUUUUGUGUGUCCAUAGACAUGAGUUCAGUGCUAACAAUUUAAGU